ensembl:lncRNA
CUUAUCUUUCUUUUUUUUACAUAAGGGCAUACACAAGAUGAGAAUAAAUUAAACGCACUUGCUUGUCUCAAAUUGCAGUGCAGAGCAGAUACAACACUCAGUUCUUUGCAUCUUCUCUAGAAUCCGUCACAGCCAUCAUGGUUUUCACUAAGCUGUCAAGGGCCCUUCUCCUUGUCUCUCUGCUUUCUCUUUGUACUCAAAGUCUGGAUGAUGAGUUCGACGUGGAAGUUCUUGCAGAAAUUAUAAAACAUUUUCACGAUAAAUUUCAACAAACACAGUAUGCAGCAGCCAUCAAUGUCCCAAAGAAUAAUGUCUUUUCAUUCCUGGAAGAAGCAAGCAAUGCCUGACCAAGACAAAAAUGAUCUGCAUGCAGAACUGGGAAAGGUUGCUGAACGUGUGCCUCUCUACCGCUGUUUUUAUAAAUGUAUCCUUUGUGGAAAACCAGGAUCAACCACACCAAUAAAAGAGGUGUGUACAUGGGAAUCUAAAUUAUUUUUAGAAUAUAUUAACAAACUUUAUAACUAUACUCAAAGUAAUGCUUCAGGUUAAUUGAUGUUCUGAUGAGAGGAUAUAUGUCUGUUAAUGCUCAAAUGUAGCCUUUCUGUCAUAUAUGCUGCCUAAUGUUAUUUCUUUUUUCUUCUUACGUAUUCUUUGUAAACUCUUGGAGGGGAGAGCACAUGUUUAUUUUUUAUUUCUUUCCCCCAAAGAAAUUGCUUUUUAGUUAGUCAUUCUAAUAACAAAGAUUGUCAUCAGAUUUAACAGAAACCGGAGAUUUGUGAAUGUAGCUGGUUUUGAUAUAGGACCAAAUUCCAGUAAAUUAAAGCAUUUGUAUUCAAAAACAUUUUUCAUUACUAAGCCAGUUUAUUCCUGUGUGAACCACAAUAUUUUGUGUGGAUAUAUUCUUUAUUUGUUAAUGCUCAGGGUAAUAUUCUUGAUGAUUUUACAAAUGGUUACAUGCUGGAGAAUUACAUUUCUUUUUGACAUAUAAAUAAAGUCCUGGAAAUGUGAAGACA